UUGGUAUCUUAGUGGCGGACGGGGUGAGUAACGCGUGGGUAACCUGCCUUACACUGGGGGAUAACACUUAGAAAUAGGUGCUAAUACCGCAUAACAGGGAAAGAUGCAUGUCUUUUCCUUAAAAACUCCGGUGGUGUAAGAUGGACCCGCGUCUGAUUAGCUAGUUGGCGGGGUAACGGCCCACCAAGGCGACGAUCAGUAGCCGGCCUGAGAGGGUGAACGGCCACAUUGGGACUGAGACACGGCCCAAACUCCUACGGAAGGCAGCAG
rnacentral:rRNA from 1 species